rnacentral:rRNA from 1 species
UAGGGAAUCUUCGGCAAUGGGGGCAACCCUGACCGAGCAACGCCGCGUGAGUGAAGAAGGUUUUCGGAUCGUAAAGCUCUGUUGUAAGAGAAGAACGUGUGUGAGAGUGGAAAGUUCACACAGUGACGGUAACUUACCAGAAAGGGACGGCUAACUACGUGCCAGCAGCCGCGGUAAUACGUAGGUCCCGAGCGUUGUCCGGAUUUAUUGGGCGUAAAGCGAGCGCAGGCGGUUUAAUAAGUCUGAAGUUAAAGGCAGUGGCUUAACCAGUGUUCGCUAUGGAAACUGUUAAACUUGAGUGCAGAAGGGGAGAGUGGAAUUCCAUGUGUGGCGCUGAAAUGCGUAGAUAUAUGGAGAAACACCGGUGGCGAAAGCGGCUCUCUGGUCUGUAACUGACGCUGAGGCUCGAAAGCGUGGGGAGCAAACAGG